rnacentral:rRNA from 1 species
AUUGAACGCUGGCGGCAUGCCUUACACAUGCAAGUCGAACGGUAACGGGCCUUCGGGUGCCGACGAGUGGCGAACGGGGGAGUAAUACAUCGGAACGUGCCCGAUCGUGGGGGAUAACGAGGCGAAAGCUGUGCUAAUACCGCAUACGACCUACGGAUGAAACCGGGGGACCGCAAGGCCUUGCGCGGACGGAGCGGCCGAUGGCAGAUUAGGUAGUUGGUGGGAUAAAAGCUUACCAAGCCGACGAUCUGUAGCUGGUCUGAGAGGAUGAUCAGCCACACUGGGACUGAGACACGGCCCAGACUCCUACGGGAGGCAGCAGUGGGGAAUUUUGGACAAUGGGCGCAAGCCUGAUCCAGCCAUGCCGCGUGCAGGAUGAAGGCCUUCGGGUUGUAAACUGCUUUUGUACGGAACGAAAAGCCUUCUUUUAAUACAGGAGGGUCAUGACGGUACCGUAAGAAUAAGCACCGGCUAACUACGUG